rnacentral:tRNA from 1 species
GGCUCGAUAGCUCAGAUGGUAGAGCAGAGGACUGAAAAUCCUCGUGUCGGCGGUUCGAUUCCGUCUCGAGCCA